rnacentral:rRNA from 1 species
UAGGGAAUUUUUCACAAUGAGCGAAAGCUUGAUGGAGCAAUGCCGCGUGAACGAUGAAGGUCUUUAAGAUUGUAAAGUUCUUUUAUUUGGGAAGAAUGACUUUAGCAGGUAAUGGCUAGAGUUUGACUGUACCAUUUUGAAUAAGUGACGACUAACUAUGUGCCAGCAGUCGCGGUAAUACAUAGGUCGCAAGCGUUAUCCGGAUUUAUUGGGCGUAAAGCAAGCGCAGGCGGAUUGAAAAGUCUGGUGUUAAAGGCAGCUGUUUAACAGUUGUAUGCAUUGGAAACUAUUAAUCUAGAGUGUGGUAGGGAGUUUUGGAAUUUCAUGUGGAGCGGUGAAAUGCGUAGAUAUAUGAAGGAACACCAGUGGCGAAGGCGAAAACUUAGGCCAUUACUGACGCUUAGGCUUGAAAGUGUGGGGAGCAAAUAGGAUUAGAUACCCUAGUAGUCCACACCGUAAACGAUAGAUACUAGCUGUCGGGGCGAUCCCCUCGGUAGUGAAGUUAACACAUUAAGUAUCUCGCCUGGGUAGUACAUUCGCAAGAAUG